GUUUCUAGAAGAAAGCACAGAAAAGCUCAGCAGCAGCUGUUGGCUCUGAGCAGAGCCCACACUGCUGGAAUGUGCAGUGGGUUUCUGUGGUCUCCAGGCUGUGUUGGCCCACAGGGCUUUCCUGGCUGUUCACAUAUGCGUGUGCUGCUGUACAGCCAGUUAGUGUGAUAACAUGUCCUGAAGUACAUUCCUGCAUCCAAACUUAAGGAGCAUUUGGUUGUAAAUGACAGUAUUUACAGGUGGGUGGCCCAGGUGUCUACAAAGACAAUGUGGCAGGUGGGAAAGGUAAUGGAAGUGAUGGAGGAGACUGUGGCAGGGGAAGGGAAAAGUUAGGCUUAUCACUCAUUCUAUUUCUUCUCCUACCAUAGCCAUCAAAGUGAAGGUUGAAUUUUAACCUCAAGAUGUGACUAAAAUGCUCCUUGCUGGGAGCUGGUGGAUUUUGCAUUCUUUCCCAAGGUGAGAGCUGUCACCAGAUGACAAAUACCACAGCCCCAACAGCAUCUUCAAAACAGAUUUUUCCUUUGAAAUGCGUCAGCAUGGAACAGCUUAUUUGUGGUGGUCCAGUUUUGCUUCCCACAGCAGAUCCAGCAGGAUAAGCACUCCAGCUGCAGCUGCUCAUUCCACAGGAGCUUGACAGCUCUAUGAACCAAGCCAGCCACAGCAGCACAUCAGCCAGCAGUGGGUAAAAGACAGUGCUUACACCUAAAAGAGCAAUUUGAAAUCAAUGCUGAUUAAUUGCAGGGGUCAUCCAAUCAGGGAGGAUGCAAUUUAGAGAAGACUAAUGGUCUUGGGGUUAAGGAACUUGCUGCCUUCUCAGGUGAUUUCAGUUUAAUUAUUGCUUCAGUUCUCGACUUCCUAAUUAAGUCAAUUAAUCUCUCCUGUUCUGUGAACUUCAUCUCUAGAAGAGGCUAAUUGCAGCUGACUCUUUUGCCUUUUUAGUUUUUCAGUUCUUUGUGGUAAGAAUUAAUUGUUCCUGUUUUAUUUUUAUCCUUGCUGGGAUGUAGACCUCUGUACCGGUUAAGAUAAGCCAUAAUAUAGGACUAAUUUUUAUUUGCUGGGAGACAUUCACCAAAGUUGCCAGAGUGGAGAAAAAUGGACAUCUCUAUAGGCCAGGUCUCACAGGUCUUAAAUUCGGUUAUUGCUUUAGAUGAAAAACUUGGAUGUUCAUGCAGAGUGUUCAGCAUAAGCCUGACAGAUGUGCAGCCCUGACCUAUACACCAGGUAGUUCAAGGUGUCCCUGCACAGUGCUGUGUUCCUGGAGGAGCUAGCUGUCCAGGGCUGAUUAUAAAAGUAAUUACAUUAUGGUUGCCAGUGCUGACCCUCUCUGACUGUCAGGCACUGAAAACUGAUGGACAAGAAUUACAGUCAACCAAAUGCAUACAGAAAAGUUGUGAAUUUCUGAAUUCUUUUGCAGAUAUCUGAGAAAAGAGGCAAAAGUUGCCAGGCAAGAAAUCUAUCAUCUAAAAAAGAGCAAACCCAAAAUUGUUUGAUGAACUUUUACAGAAACCUACGAGGACUUUCAGGGAGCUGGCCAGGAGCAAGCCUAAAGUGUUCCUUCCAGUGUGUUCACGAGUGCAAGCACCGGUCUCUGACUCCAACAGACUUUUGAAUCUCUGGAGCAAGAAAGUCUCCCUUGUAGAUCAAAGUCAAAACUGCUCAAAAAUGAUUGUUUUUUCACAUCUCCUCAGCUCCGACCUGAAGAGUUGUUUAAGGGUGGUGAGUUGUCAGUCUCAAAUAAGAGAGGGGUACAGACCUAUUUUAAGGUGUGUGAACAGUCUAGAGAAGUGAUAAUGAUCAUGGUGCCUGGGACACCUGGGAAGUGAAUCAAUUGCCCAGCAAGGUUCUUUGAGCAAGAGUUCCCUUCUAGUUCAUACUCCAGGACUUCCUGAUCUCAGUACAUUACCCAGUGCCCUAGGAUGACUCAUAGAGUUGUCUGUAUUGGGGUGAUCACCAGUACUGCAGCAGAACCUUGCAGAAAUCGUUUGCUGAGUGGAUCCUUUCCUAUUUACUCCAUGAGAAAGUGGUAGCCUAAGCCAGGCAUGUAAGAGGCUCCAGUAAGCAGCUUUGCAGUCUGAGAACUGUAUACAAGGUUUUCUCAAUUUUUGCUUCAUUUUUUAUUUCCUCUCUCUCGUACAGACUGUAUUGCUGAGUGAGUUUUGCAGUUCUCUAUAGAAGUGAUGAACUGUUGUCUUCUGGAACUGGAAAAAAUGUGAUAAAAGCAUCAGUCCAAAAUGCUGCCUCUUAUUUUCUCUUUUCCUUUUUAAAUGUUAGUCACUGCAGAAGUCAGCAGUUUUUCUACCAGCUUCUCUCAGUAAUGCUAAACAUUUCUGAUGGAUGCAUGAGGUGACUCCUAGACAACUGUGCUGUAUUUCUAAUGCACUCGGGGAGGAUGAAUCAAGACACAAAGAGGGUCUAUCUGGAACAGGAAGAGAACUUGUGAAGCUGACUCAGGGCAGCAUUGAUUGUCUUUAGGCUCUGUCCAGCAGAGCAAAAAUUCCCAUCAGUUCUGUGCCAAAGCUGUUUUCCCCUUAUAUCUCACCAUGUCAUGUUACCACUCUGCAUAGUGAUGAAACUGCAGUGUCAUUAUGUGUGAUGUCAGUCUCUGUGUAGGUAUAGUUUAAUAAUUUGACUGUAACAAAGUCAAAUGAUUCAACUGCCCCAUCUCUUCCAUCUCCCCCAUCUCCCAAGACGAGUUAUCCCAAUGAUUUGGGCUAAUGGAAAGCUGCCAAUGAAACAGAUUACUAUUAUGUGAUUUUUUUCAGAUUUGCCUCAUUAGAAGUUCAAACCUAGCAAGGAAUCAUUCCCUAAAACAUAUUUUCAGUGUAAUACGUAAUGGUUUUGGCUCCAAUGAGGUUUGAUCCAAAGCCUCUCAAAAUUAUUGGAAAAGCUUCCAUAAUAAUGGAAGCCUUAAGAAUCUGAAUUUGAAGGGUGUGAUGCCAACCUUGUCCGUCGUAUUUUUAUAUCUGCUACUCUCUGAAGACCUUGUUUUGACAUUCAGCUUUGAUCUUGCCUGAAGUGGUCAGCUACACCAGCAGAAAAACAGAACCUUUUCUGAUUUCAUCCAUGGAGUAAAUAAGAGGUGAUAAAAAGUAUAAAUUCUGACUUCUCUGACCCCAUUACCCCUGAGGAUAGCUGCCUCAGCAGUCAUGUGGAUGACUUUAAGGUUUCUCUAUGAUUUCUUAUUUAUUUUUCUGAAAUAUGAUUUUAAGGUGAUGCAGAAAUAAACUGUGAACAGAUAAAAACUUUCACAAAUUCCACAUACAUUCCCUGCUUCUGAAAACUGUGUCACUACGCACUGCUGGCAUACCUGGGGGAGACUGGAAAUGCAUUGCUUUACUCCUCUUAUCACAGGUGUCGUUAAUGCCUUUGUAAAGGCAUUUUCUGUGGAGGCUCUUUGAUUCUUGUUAUGUCUACGCUUCUUCAGAUCUCAGUGCUUUCAGUGAGGAAAUAGUUUGCUAAAUAUUUUGUAAGUUUUGACUUCAGCAAAAUUGAAUAAUAUUUUUCCUCUUCUUAGCCCAAUACCACUUUGCAUCUUCAUCAUCAAGUGGAACAAAUGAGUCUUUUGGAGGGAGUGAGAGUAUCUGCAGUGAUGUCUCUAAUGUCUCUUGUGGGUGUCUUUCAUCACCUAUGUUAAUGUGUCCUUGCUUAUGUUUCCUUUUCUGGUUCCCU